AGCAAGUACGCAGGUGUGGGGUUUGGGGGACUUUGCGGGAGAGGCUCCAGAGGAGACACUGCCAGGUCUCUGCUGGAGGGAGAUGACCACUUUAGCCCGGAAAAUAGACUGGACAUGCAAGAAACAACACGAAAAACAUGGCGUACCAGCUCGGCCAUGAGCGCCGGUGGGUGCAGUGGGGAGAGGAACUGCUUGAGGUGGACCCGCUCUCCAGGGAGUCCUCCUUCCGGCUGCGGAGGCCUGAGCCGGGUGUGGAGAAUUGCGCUCUGCUUGUCCAGCAGGAGGGAGGCCGUUCUCCUCAGGCAGAUAAAGAGAGCAAGUACUUAACGGAGACACACGGCAGCAUGGAGACGGGGGGGUCACCCCACGACCGUUGGAGCAGCUGUGGUCUUUCCACUAAGAAGUAAAGUUUGCAUCUGGUCCACACCACUGUGCUCUGAAUAUCAGAAAUGGGAAGCGGCGCCCAAUGCUUCCAGUGAGGCAAGAACAAGUCACAGCAGCACAACAUCUGCAGCUGGAGAGGGGAUCAGCCUUUUCCAGAACAUUCCCCUCCUGAGCCAAGGGGACAGUGUAGUGGAAACCAGACUCACUUCUCCCUGAGGUAGGAAGGGGGAAUGAGGGUGGAGGGCUGGGAGGUGCCGCGUGACCACCCAAAGAAAGGUCUCAAGGUCAGGGAAUCCUGGAGCAGGGUGCUUCCUCUUCAGAGUGUGGGAUUUUAAAAGCCCAAAGGAGAACUUAGACCCAAGGUGGGAGCUCCAGCUUGCUCUUCCUGCCUUGAUGGUCUUGCCUUUCCCUUUGGAUGGGGUGGCGCACCUUGUGGUCUGUGCUCAGAAAGGGUUAAGUCUCGCCCCCAGCCCCGGGAUCUGUCAGCCUUGGCGCUGAAGCUUCCUGUGGGGAGACUGACACCCUGGAGCGGACCAGAGCCUGGCGCCCCAAGAGAGACGGCACAGACUCCCUAGAGGGACGGCGUGUGGUCACCAGGGAUGGAAAGGAGUCGGCCUUUACUGGGCAGUGACCAUGCGCUGGGCCAGGGGCAGGGAUCACAUCUCAGCUCCAUGUCGCCGCUUCAAGACAGGUGCGAUCGUCUCUGUUUUAUAGAAAAGGAAACUGAGUCUCUGUGGGCCUGGUCCUAACCCAGUCACACGCAAGCAUUCAUGCCUGCGUGAAGUGUGUCUGGCUUCACCCUGCCCCGCCAAGUGGCCUCAGAGAGAGGGGACCCACAGCUGGAGGCUGGGACCCCACGCGGACUUCCCGUCCCAGCUUGGCACCUGUACACUAUGCACAUGGGUGCUCUUGCCACAGAUGCAGGAGGACAGAGGACGGGUAGUGGAGCUGGUGGACCGAGCUCUGAGAUGCUGGGGCUCACACACGCUGGGCAGGCCUCUCAGAACACACAGCCCACAUGCCUGCCUGCCUGCCCAGCCACGGCCCCCGCACCGACAGAGCACCCCCAGACACCCUGUUCACACCUUGGACCCAUUCCUGGACCCCCUGGAUGUUUCUGGCAGCUCCCCAGGCAGCGAUGCCACAUGCGUCCUGCUCUGGAAUUCCAUUAUGAGCUCCCAGUGAAGACCAAGUACACCUUUAUAAUAAAAAUACCACCCUUUGUUGGCACACGAACUCUCCAUUAGAUAUUUAUCAAAUGUUUAAAAAGUUGGCCCAGAACCACACACGCUUUACCACGAGUCUCCUUGGUAGCUGGAGGAAAGCAAGGCCAUCGAAGGUGGAGCCUGGGGUGCCUCCAUCCAAGCCCUCAUCUUGCAGACAGGCGGCUCUCCUGGGCUCACCUGUGAGCCCACACGCAGAGCCACCUGCGGCGUUUGCGCAGAGCCUCUGCGGCCACCAGGAAGUCACACAGCCCUUGGUGGGUCCGCAGUGGAUCAACACAGACACGGCUGCACCUGAGAUUCAGAAGAACGGGCGGACGGUGCUUUCCUGCAUGUGUAAGAGGAAUUCAUGGGGCGAAUAACCCAACAGAGGUAAACAUUAGGGGCUGAAGUGACUUAAGCAUAUUAAAAUGUAGUUUUUCUAUUUAAGCUGGUUUCUCCAUCACUAGCUCCAUCACCCCAUCCAUCUAUCUGCCUCCAUCACCGCAUCCAUCUGUCUGUAGACAAAGAGAGGUGUUACUCAAUGCCCAGGAGUAAUUUAGCAUUUAGUUUUGAAGGGUGCCAUGAAAACAGAGAUGCCGAGUGUUGCCAAAGACUCGGGCCCAUUUGCCCUGAAGCCUGCGCUGGAGCUCCACUUCUCAGCUCCUGGCCUGGCUGAGUGUGCGCCACGGGCACUCCUGGUGUUCCAGGGAACUGUGGAGGCCACUGGGAAGGAAGCUGUUUAUUGGCAUCAUCUUGGAUUCACUGAAGAAAGCCUCAUGUCACAACCUCUGGCUGUUGCUAGCUGCGCUGGGUGUUGAAAGGACAGAGGCAGGGGGCGCCCCGGGGCAGCCAGGGGCCUUGUGGCAUAGUCUUCCCCAGGAAGAAGCAAAGGAGAGCAUCAGAUCACUCUAAAACCCUAGUGCAAACACACGGGCUGCCGCAGUGUAGACAGCCGGACUGUGCUGGCCUGUAGCCAGGCCUGUGGCUUGCUCCCGCCACCGGGCUCAGCUGUGUGGACACAGCAAGCUCUCAGUAUACAAUCGGCACUCAUGAAUCCUGUCUUUCUCAUCCUAAAUGCCCAUCAAUUUUGUAAAGCAACCUUACUUGAAGUCAUGUCAAAAGCUGUGCACGUCCCAGGUGGGCUGAAGAAGAGGCAAAAUUGGCGUAAAAGGAGCCAAGAAUUCUCCAUUUGUUGAUGAAAGGUAAAAUUGUCCACCUGGCACGUGCUGCCUGGCUGACCAAGAGUGAAGAAAUGUUUUUUUCUGGCUUUUUUUCUAAAUGCAUUUGCUAUGCUAGGCUGAAACAGAAAUGCUAUUCACAUCUGGUGGAGCAGACCUUAUUUCCACUCUCUGGACAUGCUCCGAAGCGCGGGCUGAAGUAGAUCAAGUCCCCAGGGAGCUCAAGCCUGAUUCCAAGGAGAUUGCCAAUAUUUUAGGAGGGAGUAAACAUUUUCUGAAGUUUUUUGUUGUCUAAAGCCAAAAAAUGCACUUGCGCCUCCUGAGAGGACAAAGAGGAAGAGAGACGGGGAGAGGGGACAAAGGAGCAGAGACGGACAGCAAAUUCACGCAGAGGAGGGAAGGUGGGGGAUGCCAGGCCCCUCUGGGUGAGUCGAAGAUCUCCACCAGAGGCUCAUUUCAAAGGGGAAGGCGGCACCUUUAUUUUCAAAAGAGGCACCGCUCCUGGCUUCCUGUGAGCUCCACUUCUACCGUAGUUAGAGGAGGAGGGUUUGAUGGGGCUCAGGGUCAUGGCCGAGGCUCUCCAGCCUGUGUGGAUGAAUGCACUCGCAGAUCUCAUCUCUCCGCUGCUCCCUCCCCAGCCUGAUGUCCAGCCCUGCCCUUGCACUCUAGUCUCAUACGCUAUUGCUCACUUGGCAUCUCAAAUGACAGUUGCCCAAAACAUAAUUCCAGCUUCUCCUUCCAGAUUUGUUUCAUCUCCCUUCUGUCUCACUGAAGGACAGCCCCACCCACUCAGCCGCCUAAGCCAGAACCCCAUGUGCCGUGCACCAGUUCUUCCUCUCACUUGUCUGCUUAGUUAAAUCCUCAGCGACCCUUGCUAACAGCACCUUGGAGGCUCUCUCAGGUGUGUCCACUUGCCUUUCUUUCUCCCCUCCUGGGUCUUCACCCAUGCAAUCACCAGAUUGUGCCUGGAAGACAAAUAAAUGCACCUCCCUAGUUGACUCCUGCUUGGACCCCCAAGGACCCAGCACCCAGGGUGAGCAUGUAACUCAGAGCAGAGCUGAGGGUGGCCAUGCUGCACAGAGCUCGCGUGCACCCUCCCUGCCCAGGCUCCCCAGGGCCUGGGCUGGCUGUUCUCCCUCCACUCCCCCGUCCCACUGCCCUCCUCCAGGCCUGUCACGCUCAGCUGUGCUGGCAGUGGGUUAGCAUAAAUCUUUAGCAAUGGCUUUCUGGGGAAAAAAAGGCCUGAGGUUUGUAGCAUUCACAAAUUCCUGUACUCGUACUUCCCUCCAGACUGAUUUCAAGCUAACCACUGGCUGACAAAAUUCCUGCAAAUGUAACUGUCAGCUCUUGGAAGCCGGGACGGCAGCUUUGGCAUCUUGUCACUGACUGUGCUUUCCUUAGAGGAUGGUGAAGGAGCUCCUUAACAGGGUGGGUGCAAAGGAGCUCACCAGGUCCGUGCUGCAAAGUCAGAUUCGGGCCUUUGUCUCUUAACGCGUAUGCAACAUUGAUGAUGAUCGAAAGAGAAAAAAUUGAACACAAAGAUUUGCCUGGGUAAACAUCAAAUGGCAUACCAGAAAGAAGUGAAUUUUGCCCCAUUUUUAGCUGCAUUUUCUCUCCCUUAGAGCAAACUUCCCAACUCAGAGGGGCAGACAGAGGGGCAGAACAGGGGCAGGGGACGUAUCCCUCCACCAUUGGAUGACGGCUAUUGUCUUAUUCACAGCAGAUUGCUUCUCGGCCUUUUGGCUAAGAUCAAGUGUGUCUUAUUCACAGGAGGACGUGUUUCUUGUGUGACCUUUGGGAAGUGAACCCUUGGAACAGCGUACUUUCUAACAUGUCCCCCAUCAACACCGGGACGUGGUUAUUGUGUAGACUGGUAGGGGCCCUCCAUCCUCAGUGUUAAGACUAUAGGGCUGGGGAAGGGGGAGAGAGGGGAAGGCUGACAAAUCAAGGGGUCAGAUGAGACAGGCCUGGGGCCCAAGGCCUGAGGCACCCCCUUCCUGUGCUACCCUAGGGCUCCAGCACCCAGUCUCUCCUUCCCCUGCCUCUUCCCCGGCUCUGCCAAGCUUUAGGACCACUUGGCCUCGCUUGUAAGGGACUGCUGAGCCCUCAGUUGCCCCUGUUGCAGGAAGCACCUUGGGGGCUGGCCCCUCUCUGUGUGGCCUCGUGGGUAUCUAUCCACCCCUCUCUGUAUAAAACAAAGAAUGAGAGGUGGGAGGCGGGGUUGCCGUUCCUAGCAGGGGUAGCGUGCCUUCUGCAUUACGAGGCCAGUGGCAUAUAAUAGUUCGUGUUUGCGACUCUAUCACAAUAGUCAAAUCUAUUCACAGACAAUUAGCCCACAUAUGCUUCUCUGCCUGGAAUAUCCUCCCUCCCUUAUCCACCUGGAAACUUCUGCUCAUCCUUAAUCCUCAGCUCCAAUGUCAGCUGGAGGGGUCACCCUCUACCCUGGCCCCUGAAGGGCGUCCAGUACCCUCCUCUCUGCAAUGCACUCAGAUCCCCAAUUUACCUACUUUCUAGCCCUAUACUCUUAAGACUUGGAGGAUGCAGGGCCCCAUCGGCCUACACCAUAAUCCAGUCCCAGUGUCUGUCUGGGACUUGUCAGAAAGUACACCAUUCCAGGGGUCCCUUUCCCAAAGGCUGUGUAAGAGGACACAUGAGCAGACGUGAGCAGAUGGGCGCACUGACGUUGCAUAUACGUGAAGACAAAGGCCCCGAAUCUGACUUUGCAGCAUUGGCCUGGUGAGCUCCUUUCCACCCACCCUGUUGAUGAUCUCCUCCACCCUCCUCUAAGGAAAGCGCCGUCAGUGACAAGUUGUGAAGCACAGUCAGGAUGGCCACAGCAGCCGUCCCGGCUUCCAAGAGCUGACAGUGACAUUUGCAGGAAUGUCAUGAGCCAGUGGUUAGCUUGAAAUCAGUCAUGAGGGGAGUAUGAGUACAGAAGUUGUGAUUUUUAGCAGAGAUGAGGCCUUUCUAUGUUGCCCAGGCUAGUCUCCAACUCCUGAGCUCAAGCAAUCCUCCCAGCUCAGCCUCCCGAAGUCACAGCAGUGCUCCUGCUGGAGACGCUCCAUCCAGAAUUCUCCAAACCUUGGAGGCUGAGACUUUAUAUCUCCCCUAGUGAUUUAUUCGUACUUCAUUAAUUCUACAAAUAGAUUUUGAGUGUCCACGACGUUGCCCCCGCUGCUGGGGACACAGAGUGGGUCAUACCAAGGGACCUCCCCCUUGCACAUGGGGCUGAUGUUGUGGCUCGCCUGCCGUUUACUUGUGUGCCCCGCCCCCCACCCCCACAAGCCACACAGUUGCUCGGUGUUUCUUGCAGAGUCUACCUUAAAGUCCCUUUGUCCUAAAUGAAGAUGCCUCGCUCGGCCCAGGUGCACUGAGUCACAGCCGCCUGCACGAUGCCUCCCAGGGGCUGAGGCUUUUCAUCAGUAUCCACAUUGGUCUCAUACAGACCAGGAGUUAAGGGCCAUCUGUCUAAGGAUUCAGAGAAACAGGAAAAAUACUCAUGAAAAGAUACUUUUUUUUUCUUUUUUCCAGUUUUAUGGAAGUAUAAUUGACAAAUAGAAAUUAUAUAUAUUUAAGGCAUACAACAUGAUGUUUUGAUAUGUGUAUAAAUUGUGAAAUGAUUGCUGCAAUCAAGCUAAUUAAAACAUCUAUCAUCUCA
rnacentral:lncRNA from 1 species